rnacentral:rRNA from 1 species
GGUUAAGCGACUAAGCGUACACGGUGGAUGCCCUGGCAGUCAGAGGCGAUGAAGGACGUGCUAAUCUGCGAUAAGCGUCGGUGAGGUGAUAUGAACCGUUAUAACCGGCGAUUUCCGAAUGGGGAAACCCAGUGUGUUUCGACACACUAUCAUUAACUGAAUCCAUAGGUUAAUGAGGCGAACCGGGGGAACUGAAACAUCUAAGUACCCCGAGGAAAAGAAAUCAACCGAGAUUCCCCCAGUAGCGGCGAGCGAACGGGGAGGAGCCCAGAGCCUGAAUCAGUGUGUGUGUUAGUGGAAGCGUCUGGAAAGGCGCGCGAUACAGGGUGACAGCCCCGUACACAAAAAUGCACACAUUGUGAGCUCGAUGAGUAGGGCGGGACACGUGGUAUCCUGUCUGAAUAUGGGGGGACCAUCCUCCAAGGCUAAAUACUCCUGACUGACCGAUAGUGAACCAGUACCGUGAGGGAAAGGCGAAAAGAACCCCGGCGAGGGGAGUGAAAAAGAACCUGAAACCGUGUACGUACAAGCAGUGGGAGCCUCUUAAUGGGGUGA